UACGAAGGGGGCUAGCGUUGCUCGGAAUCACUGGGCGUAAAGGGUGCGUAGGCGGGUUUUUAAGUCAGAGGUGAAAUCCUGGAGCUCAACUCCAGAACUGCCUUUGAUACUGAAAGUCUUGAGUAUGGGAGAGGUGAGUGGAACUGCGAGUGUAGAGGUGAAAUUCGUAGAUAUUCGCAAGAACACCAGUGGCGAAGGCGGCUCACCGGCCCAUAACUGACGCUGAGGCACGAAAGCGUGGGGAGCAAACAGG
rnacentral:rRNA from 1 species